GAUGAACGCUGGCGGCGUGCCUAAUACAUGCAAGUCGAGCGAACAGACGAGGAGCUUGCUCCUUUGACGUUAGCGGCGGACGGGUGAGUAACACGUAGGUAACCUACCUAUAAGACUGGGAUAACUUCGGGAAAACUGAGCUAAUACCGGAUAAUAUUUCGAACCGCAUGGUUCGAUAGUGGAAGAUGUCUUUGCUAUAACUUAUAGAUGGACCUGCGCCGUAUUAGCUAGUUGGUAAGGUAACGGCUUACCAAGGCAACGAUACGUAGCCGACCUGAGAGGGUGAUCGGCCACACUGGAACUGAGACACGGUCCAGACUCCUACGGGAGGCAGCAGUAGGGAAUCUUCCACAAUGGGCGAAAGCCUGACGGAGCAACGCCGCGUGAGUGAUGAAGGUCUUCGGAUCGUAAAACUCUUUUAUUAGGGAAGAACAAACGUGUAAGUAACUGUGCACGUCUUGACGGUACCUAAACAGAAAGCCACGGCUAACUACGUG
rnacentral:rRNA from 1 species